rnacentral:rRNA from 1 species
GACGAACGCUGGCGGCGUGCCUAAUACAUGCAAGUUGAGCGCUGAAGGUUGGUACUUGUACCAACUGGAUGAGCAGCGCACGGGUGAGUAACGCGUGGGGAAUCUGCCUUUGAGCGGGGGACAACAUUUGGAAACGAAUGCUAAUACCGCAUAAAAACUUUAAACACAAGUUUUAAGUUUGAAAGAUGCAAUUGCAUCACUCAAAGAUGAUCCCGCGUUGUAUUAGCUAGUUGGUGAGGUAAAGGCUCACCAAGGCGAUGAUACAUAGCCGACCUGAGAGGGUGAUCGGCCACAUUGGGACUGAGACACGGCCCAAACUCCUACGGGAGGCAGCAGUAGAGAAUCUUCGGCAAUGGACGAAAGUCUGACCGAGCAACGCCGCGUGAGUGAAGAAGGUUUUCGGAUCGUAAAACUCUGUUGGUAGAGAAGAACGUUGGUGAGAGUGGAAAGCUCAUCAAGUGACGGUAACUACCCAGAAAGGGACGGCUAACUACGUG